CCUACGGGAGGCAGCAGUGAGGAAUAUUGGACAAUGGACGAAAGUCUGAACCAGCCAAGUAGCGUGAAGGAUGAAUGCCCUAUGGGUGUUAAACUUCUUUUAUAUGGGAAUAAAAUGUUCCACGUGUGGGAUUUUGUAUGUACCAUAUGCAUAAGGAUCGGCUAACCCCACGCCAGCAGCCGCGGUAAUACGGAGGGUCGGAUGGUUAUGCGGAUGUAUUGGGUUUAGAGGGAGGGGAGGUGGGUUGUUAAGUCAGUUGUGAAAGUUUGCGGCUCAACCGUAAAACUGCAGUUGAUACUGGCAGUCUUGAGUACAGUAGAGGGGGGCAGAAUUCGUGGUGUAGCGGUGAAAUGCGUAGAGAUCACGAAGAAUUCCGAUUGCGAAGGCAACUCCCUGGACUGCAACUGACACUGAGGCGCGAAAGUGUGGGUAGCAAACAGGAUUAGAUACCCUUGUAGUC
rnacentral:rRNA from 1 species